UGGAAAGAGUUGUCGAAUUUAUUCCUACAUUUUGAUCUCUUGAAUUAAAUACCCCUUCAAUAAUUAGUGCCAAACCAAGCUUGAAACGAUCGUUAUGGUUGGCACAUUUCAAGAAAACUUUCUCCUAGUCGCUACAAGUUAUCCGGUCCAGAUUAGCAAACAUUCUGUCCUGUAGACGUGUUUUCUCUAGGAUUUUGUCAACUUCGGUGCCUUUAGGUAUUGGACCAACUUCAAGCCGGUGACUAAUGCGAACUCCGGCAGUCAAAAUUGUGCGAACCUUUGGUUCACCUUAAACCAAGCCUCAAAUCGCUUUUGGCAGACCACCGAUCUCUUUACCAUUUCAUGAAUUAAUUGAGCGGAUAAUUUCAGCUCCGGUAACCUUGCAACAUGUCUAUACAAUUGUCCUCCAACAGACACUUUUGUUGUGGUCCAAUUUGUUGAGGAUAACUGUUAUGUAUUUUGUGUUGCUGACUUGUGUGACAUGAGCUGGAACACAUUCUUCCUCCGAAAUUUUAUGUCGGUGUGACAUACUCAUCUACAAAUCAAAACAAAUGAAAACAACAUUUUUAACAAAUUUAGUUCGUGAAAAGUGUGAAAUGUGCCAAAUGCCUGAAAUUACUGAAAUGUGCAAAAUGCAUGCAAACACGAAAGGAUAAAAAAACGUGAAAUGUGCCAAAUGCACUAAAUAGUCCAAAAUGUAUGAAUAUACUUAUGAAAAUAAUUUAAAAUGUGCAGAAUUUGCCAAAAUGCAAAAAUGCACCAAAAUUGAUGAGGACAUCUGAAAAUUUAAAAAAAUAAAAACAAAGAAAAGCAUGUAACAAAAUGCACGUAAACAAUCCAAAUUUCACAAAAUAUAACAAUAAGGUCAUAAAAGGAAAACAACCUUAGAUUAUCAAGGAAUCACUCACAAGUGCAAGUUUCCAUCAGAAAGUUGAUUGGGA
rnacentral:lncRNA from 1 species